rnacentral:rRNA from 1 species
AGAGUUUGAUCCUGGCUCAGGACGAACGCUGGCGGCGUGCCUAAUACAUGCAAGUCGAGCGAGCGGAACCAGCAGAAUCACUUCGGUGAGGACGCUGGGAAAGCGAGCGGCGGAUGGGUGAGUAACACGUGGGGAACCUGCCCUUAAGUCUGGGAUACCACUUGGAAACAGGUGCUAAUACCGGAUAAGAAAGCAGUUCGCAUGAACAGCUUUUAAAAGGCGGCGCAAGCUGUCGCUAAAGGAUGGACCCGCGGUGCAUUAGCUAGUUGGUAAGGUAACGGCCUACCAAGGCAGUGAUGCAUAGCCGAGUUGAGAGACUGAUCGGCCACAUUGGGACUGAGACACGGCCCAAACUCCUACGGGAGGCAGCAGUAGGGAAUCUUCCACAAUGGACGCAAGUCUGAUGGAGCAACGCCGCGUGAGUGAAGAAGGUUUUCGGACCGUAAAGCUCUGUUGUUGGUGAAGAAGGAUAGAGGUAGUAACUGGCCUUUAUUUGACGGCAAUCAACCAGAAAGUCACGGCUAACUACGUGCCAGCAGCCGCGGUAAUACGUAGGUGGCAAGCGUUGUCCGGAUUUAUCGGGCGUAAAGCGAGCGCAGGCGGAAGAAUAAGUCUGAUGUGAAAGCCCUCGGCUUAACUGAGGAAUUGCAUCGGAGACUGUUUUUCUUGAGUGCAGAAGAGGAGAGUAGAACUCCAUGUGUAGCGGUGGAAUGCGUAGAUAUAUGGAAGAAUACCAGUGGCGAAGGCGGCUCUCUGGUCUGCAACUGACGCUGAGGCUCGAAAGCAUGGGUAGCGAACAGAAUUAGAUACCCUGGUAGUCC